GGCGAACGGGUGAGUAGCGCAUCGGAACGUGCCCAGUAGUGGGGGAUAGCUCGGCGAAAGCCGGAUUAAUACCGCAUACGACCCAUGGGUGAAAGCGGGGGACCGCAAGGCCUCGCGCUAUUGGAGCGGCCGAUGCCCGAUUAGCUAGUUGGUGAGGUAAAGGCUCACCAAGGCAACGAUCGGUAGCUGGUCUGAGAGGACGACCAGCCACACUGGGACUGAGACACGGCCCAGACUCCUACGGGAGGCAGCAGUGGGGAAUUUUGGACAAUGGGGGAAACCCUGAUCCAGCCAUGCCGCGUGCGGGAAGAAGGCCUUCGGGUUGUAAACCGCUUUUGGCAGGAACGAAACGGCGCGCGCUAAUACCACGCGCUAAUGACGGUACCUGCAGAAUAAGCACCGGCUAACUACGUGCCAGCAGCCGCGGUAAUACGUAGGGUGCAAGCGUUAAUCGGAAUUACUGGGCGUAAAGCGUACGCAGGCGGCUGUGCAAGACAGGUGUGAAAUCCCCGGGCCCAACCUGGGAACUGCACUUGUGACUGCAUGGCUAGAGUCCGUAAGA
rnacentral:rRNA from 1 species